rnacentral:pre_miRNA from 1 species
GACCUACUCCCUCCGUUCGGAAUUACUUGUCUCGGAAAUGGAUGUAUCUAGACGUAUUUUAGUUCUAGGUACAUCCAUUUCCGAGACAAGUAAUUCCGAACGGAGGGAGUAUAUU